GGGGGUGGUCCUUAGAGUGGGCAAAACAGUUUUUUUUAUCCCCCAAACCUCAGAUUGUUAUCUGCAUAUGCCCUCUUGGGCAAAAGGAAGUUCUUAUUUGGGGAAAGCUUGGAGUGUAUUAUCUCCAGAAAGUCUAAACGGGACUGCAGGUGAAGGAAGGAAGUCUCUGAUGACGGCUACUUCUCAGAGCUGUUUGGAGGGACACGGUUUGCCGAGGAGUCUCUCUCUUUCUUGGUGUCGCCUGCCUGUCUGACACAGCCUUUCUCUGUUUUGCCUGGAAGUAUUCCGUGCGUGUUCCCACGGGGGUUAGCAAAGACUCCAAAGUCAUCUGCCACCUGACUUGUCAGCGACUGCAACUUACCAUCCCGCUGGGCUGCCGCGCUUCUCCCGGCGUAAUGUAACCUUUCACAAGUGCAUUUCCUUGAGUCUGACCACAAAGAACUUGGAAGACUCUCUGAGAUGGCUCACAGCACUUGAUCAAGUCAUUAAAGCCGCUUUGCCUCUUUCUCUCGUCUUCCCUUUCCUGUUGGAUUUCAAAGCCUCUUCUAUUCCUCCUGAGCCCAGUGGAGGUCAGAUCUGCACGUCUCUCCUUUACAUUUAAGUUCUUUAAAGCUCUUCUUACCUUGGAAAGCGUUAUUCAAUCUUGUGUAAAAUCUUGUAAUAUUUCACAAUGUCUCUAUCUUCUCUUGCUCCUCGGGUUCCAAAUGAACCAGCAGAUUGCCCGGUAGAAUUGAAUUUGAUGUGUUCAAGCCCAGGCGCUUCUUCAGACUGAUUCCUGUUUUGUGCCCUGAUGGCCUCAAAGAAUGUCCUUGAACUUUGGAUCUUUUGUUUGAAAUCUGGCAGUGCAUUUCAAAUGAAUUUCGUAUUUUUCCUUCA